rnacentral:rRNA from 1 species
GAUGAACGCUGGCGGCGUGCCUAAUACAUGCAAGUCGAGCGAACGGACGAGAAGCUUGCUUCUCUGAUGUUAGCGGCGGACGGGGGAGUAACACGUGGAUAACCUACCUAUAAGACUGGGAUAACUUCGGGAAACCGGAGCUAAUACCGGAUAAUAUUUUGAACCGCAUGGUUCAAAAGUGAAAGACGGUCUUGCUGUCACUUAUAGAUGGAUCCGCGCUGCAUUAGCUAGUUGGUAAGGUAACGGCUUACCAAGGCAACGAUGCCUAGCCGACCUGAGAGGGUGGUCGGCCCCCCUGGAACUGAGCCACGGUCCCGACUCCUACGGGAGGCAGCAGUAGGGAAUCUUCCGCCAUGGGCGAAAGCCUGACGGCGCCACGCCGCGUGAGUGAUGAAGGUCUUCGGAUCGUAAAACUCUGUUAUUAGGGAAGAACAUAUGUGUAAGUAACUGUGCACAUCUUGACGGUACCUAAUCAGAAAGCCACGGCUAACUACGUG